rnacentral:rRNA from 1 species
GUCCAGACUCCUACGGGAGGCAGCAGUGGGGAAUAUUGCACAAUGGGGGAAACCCUGAUGCAGCGACGCCGCGUGAGCGAUGAAGUAUUUCGGUAUGUAAAGCUCUCUCAGCAGGGAAGAAGAUGACGGUACCUGACUAAGAAGCCCCGGCUAACUACGUGCCAGCAGCCGCGGUAAUACGUAGGGGGCAAGCGUUAUCCGGAUUUACUGGGUGUAAAGGGAGCGUAGACGGCGAUGCAAGCCAGAUGUGAAAGCCCGGGGCUCAACCCCGGGACUGCAUUUGGAACUGUGUGGCUGGAGUGUCGGAGAGGCAGGCGGAAUUCCUAGUGUAGCGGUGAAAUGCGUAGAUAUUAGGAGGAACACCAGUGGCGAAGGCGGCCUGCUGGACGAUGACUGACGUUGAGGCCCGAAAGCGUGGGGAGCAAACAGGAUUAGAUACCCUGGUA